rnacentral:rRNA from 1 species
UGGGGAAUCUUGGACAAUGGGGGCAACCCUGAUCCAGCCAUGCCGCGUGAGUGAUGAAGGCCUUAGGGUCGUAAAGCUCUUUCGCCUGUGAAGAUAAUGACGGUAGCAGGUAAAGAAACCCCGGCUAACUCCGUGCCAGCAGCCGCGGUAAUACGGAGGGGGUUAGCGUUGUUCGGAAUUACUGGGCGUAAAGCGCACGUAGGCGGACCAGAAAGUUGGGGGUGAAAUCCCGGGGGCUCAACCCCGGAACUGCCUCCAAAACUAUUGGUCUAGAGUUCGAGAGAGGUGAGUGGAAUUCCAAGUGUAGAGGUGAAAUUCGUAGAUAUUCGGAGGAACACCAGUGGCGAAGGCGGCUCGCUGGCCAGAUACUGACGCUGAGGUGCGAAAGUGUGGGGAGCAAACAGGAUUAGAUACCCUGGUAGUCCACACCGUAAACGAUGAAUGCCAGUCGUCGGGUAGCAUGCUAUUCGGUGACACACCUAACGGAUU